rnacentral:rRNA from 1 species
UACAGAGGUCCCAAGCGUUGUUCGGAUUCACUGGGCGUAAAGGGUGCGUAGGCGGUCGGGUAAGUCUGAUGUGAAAUCUCACAGCUUAACUGUGAAACUGCAUUGGAUACUAUCCGGCUCGAGGAAUGGAGGGGAGACUGGAAUACUUGGUGUAGCAGUGAAAUGCGUAGAUAUCAAGUGGAACACCAGUGGCGAAGGCGGCUUCCUGGUCCGACACCGACGUUCAGGCACGAAAGCGUGGGGAGCAAACAGG